rnacentral:lncRNA from 1 species
AGAAAAUGAUGACCAUUAAAUUUAUUUUUAUUUUAAGUAGAAGCAUGAUAAUGAGCACUUUGAUAUAGGCAGGACGUACUUAUAACAAGCUGCUCUUCUAAAAAGCAUACUUAUAAUAACAGUUCAAUUGGCUUUUUGUCGUAGGAAAGAAAUUUUGAAUGACGUUGAAGUCGAUAUGUUGGAGGAGUCCGAUGAUAACAACAAUGGUGACAAUACAAAAUCACUGCGUGAUGAUGCAACAAGAGGGGAUGGUAUGACUAUGCCUGAGAUGGGCAUCAAGUUCAAGGACGAAAGUUAAAUAUUAUAGUUUUAUAAAAGAUAUGCCUACGACUUGAUUUUUCCAGUGAGAAAAAGAAAUUCUAAAAAGGAUGAUGAUAAAGCUCUACAAUAUGUUACAUUUGUUUGUAGUCGUGAAGGUAAAAGUCAAUAAUACAAGUGUUUCUCUGUAGCCAUAAGCUACGUUGCAGAAGGGGUGUAAAGCCAGACUAACUGCAUGUUCAGAUAUUCAUGGAAUAUGGAGAAGUAACAAAGUACACCUUAUCACAAUCAUAGAACAAGUCCUUUGAAGUCUACACUGUAUCAAUGCAACAGAGAAUUAUGUGCUCAAGUGAAACGUCGGCUUGAAGUAAAUGACGUUGCAGGAUUAUUGCUGCACAAAAGUUUCAACUUUGCAGUUGUUAAAACAUGUGGAUAUGAGAAUAUGACCUACAUCGAGAAGAAUUGUUUAAACUAUGUUGAAAAAGUUAGGAGGUUAUGACUUGGAAAAGGUGAUGCCACGACAAUGCAGUCUAACUUUUUUAUUAUGCUAGAACAAUGCACAAAGUUCUACUUUAGUAUUGAUUUGGAUAAAGAGUUACGUUUGAAGAAUAUUUUCUAAGCAGAUAAUAGGAAUCGGCAGGCAUGUAUAGAGUUUAGCAAUGUUAUCACAUUUGGUACUAGGGAUGGCUCGAUUCGGCUCGGCUCGGCCCUUUAAUCCACG